GGCGAACGGGUGAGUAACACGUGGGCAAUCUGCCCUGCACUCUGGGACAAGCCCUGGAAACGGGGUCUAAUACCGGAUACUGACCCUCGCAGGCAUCUGCGAGGUUCGAAAGCUCCGGCGGUGCAGGAUGAGCCCGCGGCCUAUCAGCUUGUUGGUGAGGUAAUGGCUCACCAAGGCGACGACGGGUAGCCGGCCUGAGAGGGCGACCGGCCACACUGGGACUGAGACACGGCCCAGACUCCUACGGGAGGCAGCAGUGGGGAAUAUUGCACAAUGGGCGAAAGCCUGAUGCAGCGACGCCGCGUGAGGGAUGACGGCCUUCGGGUUGUAAACCUCUUUCAGCAGGGAAGAAGCGAAAGUGACGGUACCUGCAGAAGAAGCGCCGGCUAACUACGUGCCAGCAGCCGCGGUAAUACGUAGGGCGCAAGCGUUGUCCGGAAUUAUUGGGCGUAAAGAGCUCGUAGGCGGCUUGUCGCGUCGGUUGUGAAAGCCCGGGGCUU
rnacentral:rRNA from 1 species